rnacentral:rRNA from 1 species
UACGGAGGGUGCAAGCAUUAAUCGGAUUUAUUGGGCGUAAAGGGCGCGUAGGCGGAGAUGCAAGUCAGAUGUGAAAUCCUGGGGCUCAACCUCAGAACUGCAUUUGAAACUGCAUCCCUAGAGGGUAGAAGGAGAAAACGGAAUUCCACAAGUAGCGGUGAAAUGCGUAGAUAUGUGGAAGAACACCGGUGGCGAAGGCGGUUUUCUAUUUUAUACCUGACGCUGAUGCGCGAAAGCAAGGGGAUCAAACAGG